UACGAAGGGGGCUAGCGUUGUUCGGAAUUACUGGGCGUAAAGCGUGCGUAGGCGGUUUGUUAAGUCUGUCGUGAAAGCCCCGGGCUCAACCUGGGAAUGGCGAUGGAUACUGGCGAGCUAGAGUACGGUAGAGGAGAGUGGAAUUCCCGGUGUAGCAGUGAAAUGCGUAGAGAUCGGGAGGAACAUCAGUUGCGAAGGCGGCUCUCUGGACCAGUACUGACGCUGAGGCACGAAAGCGUGGGGAGCAAACAGG
rnacentral:rRNA from 1 species